rnacentral:rRNA from 1 species
AUUGAACGCUGGCGGUAGGCCUAACACAUGCAAGUCGAACGGCAGCACAGUAAGAGCUUGCUCUUACGGGUGCCGAGUGGCGGACAGGUGCGGAAUACCUCGGAAUCUACUUUUUCGUGGGGGCUAACGUAGGGAAACUUACGCUAUUACCGCAUACGACCUACGCGUGAAAGCAGGGGAUCUUCGGACCUUGCGCGAUUGAAUGAGCCGAUGUCGGAUUGGCUAGUUGGGGGGUAACAGGUCCACCAAGGCGACGAUCGGUAGCUGGUCUGAGAGGUUAACAGGCCAACUUGAACCUGAGAAAGGGCCCAGCUCCCUAGGGGAGGCAGCAGUGGGAAUAUUGGACAAUGGGCGCAAGCCUGAUCCAGCCAUGCCGCGUGUAUGAAGAAGGUCUUCGGGUUGUAAAGCCCUUUUGUUUGGAAAGAAAAGCAGUAGGUUAAUACUUCGCUGUUUUGACGUUACCGAAAGAAUAAGCACCGGCUAACUCCGUG